rnacentral:rRNA from 1 species
UACGUAGGGUCCGAGCGUUGUCCGGAAUUAUUGGGCGUAAAGAGCUCGUAGGCGGUUUGUCGCGUCUGCUGUGAAAUCCCGAGGCUCAACCUCGGGCCUGCAGUGGGUACGGGCAGACUUGAGUGGUGUAGGGGAGACUGGAAUUCCUGGUGUAGCGGUGGAAUGCGCAGAUAUCAGGAGGAACACCGAUGGCGAAGGCAGGUCUCUGGGCACUUACUGACGCUGAGGAGCGAGAGCAUGGGGAGCGAACAGG